GGCUUGGUAGCGGAGGGUCCGCAUCUGCUUCAAAUUCGCGUUUUGCAUAGUUUCCAGAAUGCAGAGCAAAGCCUGUUCGAUUCAGGCCCGAGCCA